rnacentral:rRNA from 1 species
CUAGUGGCGCACGGGUGCGUAACGCGUGGGGAUCUACCAUAGGGUGCGGAAUAACUCAGAGAAAUUUGAGCUAAUACCGCAUAAUGUCUUCGGACCAAAGAUUUAUCGCCCUUUGAUGAACCCGCGUAGGAUUAGCUUGUUGGUGAGGUAAAGGCUCACCAAGACGACGAUCUUUAGCUGGUCUGAGAGGAUGAUCAGCCACACUGGGACUGAGACACGGCCCAGACUCCUACGGGAGGCAGCAGUGGGGAAUAUUGGACAAUGGGCGAAAGCCUGAUCCAGCAAUGCCACGUGAGUGAUGAAGGCCUUAGGGUUGUAAAGCUCUUUUACCAGGGAUGAUAAUGACAGUACCUGGAGAAUAAGCUCCGGCUAACUCCGUGCCAGCAGCCGCGGUAAUACGGAGGGAGCUAGCGUUGUUCGGAAUUACUGGGCGUAAAGCGCGCGUAGGCGGUUACUCAAGUCAGAGGUGAA